AACUUCAUGUAAAAUAAUCUCUCUGUUCUGCAUCUCUGCUUUUAAAUAACAUUCAUUAAAUAUCAGCAGCGGUGAAAGUUCAUUUACUCGAAUAAUGUACUUAAUUAAGCAAAUUUAAUGUAAUUGUACUUUACUUAUUACGUAUUUACUGCACUACAUUAAUCUAAAUUACUUUCCAAAUGCUGAUUUUGACACUCAAAACAUGUGAAUAACUUGAAUUUAAAUAUGAACUCACAAAACAUUUAAAGAACUGUAACAUAUGAAGCUUGGCUGUUGAAUAAACCGUCAGAAUCAGAAUACCUUUAUUAGUACUUUUUGACAUUUGAUAUACUUUAACUGUUGGUACUUUUACUCGAGUAAAUACAUAGAUUAAAUACAUUGAAUAAAUAACUGAGUUUUUCUUCUUUCUCGUAGUCAUUUAGUAAUUCUGGGGCGAGGCUGAGAAUCUGCUAAAUAAUGUAUUCAUAAUAAAGUCUUUGUGUUUCAUUCU